GUGGAGGGAUAAGAAAGUGGAGCCUGUGAAGUUAAAUAGCUCUACUGGUACUAUCCUCCUAGAUUGAUUUGGUAGAAAAACAGGACCUGGCUAUGCAAUGGAGUCAGGGCUACUUGUCUACCAACAACC
ensembl:scaRNA